rfam:Salmo salar isolate Sally breed double haploid chromosome ssa14, whole genome shotgun sequence.
GCUCAGUUGGUAGAGCAUUGGUAGAGCAUGGUGUUUGCAACGCCAGGGUUGUGGGUUCGAUUCCCAC